AGCGAACGCUGGCGGCAUGCCUAACACAUGCAAGUCGCACGGUCGGGGGGUGACCUUCGGCAGUGGCGGACGGGUGAGUAACGCGUAGGGAUCUAUCCUUGGAUGGGGGACAACCGCGGGAAACCGCGGCUAAUACCGCAUGAUGCCUGAGGGCCAAAGCUCGCGAGAGCGUCUGGGGAGGAGCCUGCGUCCGAUUAGCUAGUUGGUGGGGUAACGCCCACCAAGGCGUCGAUCGGAGCUGGUCUGAGAGGAUGAUCAGCCACACUGGGACUGAGACACGGCCCAGACUCCUACGGGAGGCAGCAGUGGGGAAUAUUGGACAAUGGCGCAAGCCUGAUCCAGCAAUGCCGCGU
rnacentral:rRNA from 1 species